rnacentral:other from 1 species
UACACCCUGCUACGCUCGUGACUACCUGAAAGUUCUGAGCCAACACCAAGACAUAGGGAGCCCGGACUCUGAUUGUGGCUUGUAGGCCCUCCUCCGAGAGGGAAACAAAAAGCAGUCAGGAGGGCACCCACCUGCGGAGAGCGGGUUCAGGGAACUUCAGGGCGCACGGCCUAGCGGGGUGGUC